UAUUUUAGUCUUGUUAGAGGAACCUGUUUUAUAAUCGAUAAACCACGUAUAUCUUACUUAUUUUAAAUAAUUUGUAUACCGUCAUUAUUAGAUAACUUUCAAAAAAUCAGUUAUUAAAAUUAAAUAAAAUUAAAUAUAUUAGAUCAAGGUGCAGUUAAUAAAUAAGAAAAAAUGGGUUACAAUAAAAUUUAUUUAAAACGAAUUAUAUAAAUGUAAAAAUAUAUGAAGGAGGAUUUAAUUGUAAUUUUUUUUUAUAAAAUAAUAAUAUGAUAAUAGCUCUAAAAUAU
rnacentral:rRNA from 1 species